rnacentral:rRNA from 1 species
GACGAACCGUGCGAACGUUGUUCGGAUUCACUGGGCUUAAAGGGCGCGUAGGCGGGCGGUCAAGUCAGGGGUGAAAUCUUUCGGCCUAACCGGAAGGAGGCCUCUGAUACUGGCCGUCUCGAGGGAGGUAGGGGCAUGCGGAACUUCCGGUGGAGCGGUGAAAUGCGUAGAUAUCGGAAGGAACGCCGGUGGCGAAAGCGGCGUGCUGGACCUCUUCUGACGCUGAGGCGCGAAAGCCAGGGGAGCGAACGGG